UCUACUGUCAAACAGCGGAUCCUGAGUGGACCCAUGUCGGAUCCGCGGGCGCGGACGCGCAUUUACUGUAACGGUUGAACAUGACUGUACACCAAGAGCCAAGAAGUCAUACUAGUGGAUAUUUUCUUUGCUGGGACACGGUUGCGCUGAACCCUCUCGACGUCAACUUUUAUCGGCUGGAUUCUAGCAUCUAACGUUACGAUUGCCUCUGUUGGGUUUGCUUGAUCAACCAUCGUUUCGGGGACUCUGAUGACAGUGAAGAGCCAGAAAAUGGUGACUUUGCAUCUCUGAGGUACCUUUCAACUCGCCUGGUAUAUCAGUUGAAGCCUCAAGCCCAAGCCAAUUGCACUGGCAAACUCCACCAUCUCA